rnacentral:misc_RNA from 1 species
AACGCACGAGACCUGCGGACCUGCGGAGGGAUCAUUAAUGAGAAACUGCCCCUCGCGGGUAGAUCUCCCACCCUUUGUAAACUUACCUUUGUUGCUUUGGCGGGCCCGUCUCCGGACCGCCGGCUUCGGCUGGCCAGUGCCUGCCAGAGGAUUCUAAAACUCUGUCUGUCAGUGUUGUCUGAGUCUAUAUACAAUCGUUAAAACUUUUAACAACGGAUCUCUAGAUCGGAAGAGCACACG